rnacentral:lncRNA from 1 species
UUAACUCACUGAUGAAUUCUUUUGCAAAUCCUAAGAUUGUUAUUGAUUGACCAUUUACCUAUCUGGCCCUUUAAGUUCAUGUAAGUAUUUUUUUUUCUUGUGAAUGAUUUUUUAGUGAAUUUUCUGUAGAAAAUACACUAUUUUUUAUAUUUUCAUUUUCCUAUGGAGAAAGUAGUAUCAAAAUGCCGGUUGGUAAAGGAUUGGUGUAAUACUUGUUGCUUUUUAACAAUUAAUAACUACAGGUAAAUAAUAAUUUGUGCUUUUUGCAGAUUGAUCGGGAUUUCAAGGCACUAUAUCCAAAAGAGGAUGGCGCCUUACUGACCAAAUGGUUGCGAGGGUUUGCAAAGAAAAUUGUUGGUUAUGUUAUUGACAUAUUACCUGAAAGAAAGGAUCUGAAGCUGCUCAUCUGCGGGACCCUCAAAUAUGAUCUUACAGGAGAAGAUGAUGAGAGCUACACCCUCAAUGCGCUUCGCCUACUGCCUCUGAUUUUACCAUCGCUGACUGUCAAAAAAAACUAUAGACCAGGAAAACUUGAGGCUUUAGAUGGUUUUUUCCUUGAAGCAAGUAACAUCAAGGACGCAGUUGAACGAUUGAAUCGCAGGACUAAACGAUUAGUUGAACAUCAGGUACCUGAGCAACCAACUCCAAUUGCUAUUGGCUCCCGGGACCAAAGAAAAUUCUAUGUUGUUAUAAACACAAUUUUUUACGAAUGUGAUUCGGCUCUAAAAGCAAUUGAUGUUACCUUCAAACUUCUCAUGAUUUUGCAAGUGCCUAUGCCUCCAGACUGUGCCCUUUCAUGGUUAUUCCUUAAGUACUAUGUAUACAAUAUUGACACAUCGGACGAGGAUAAUUAUCCCUCAUUAGUUACCAAAAGGAAUGAGAUGGGUUUCUGAACUUUUCUUUUCAACACGAAUGCCUUUUGCUCAGGUUAAGAUAUUUAUAUAUUCCGUGAAAGUUUUUUCCUCCCUUUUUUCCGCCAUUGUUUUUGCUUACGGUGAGU